UGUUUUAAUAAUUGAAGGUAUUUCCUGCCCAAUGAUUAUUUAAAUGGCUGCAGUAUCUUAACUGUGCAAAGGUAGCAUAAUAAUUAGUCUUUUAAUUGUGGACUUGUAUGAAUGGAUUUAUGGGGGAUUUAUUUUAUUAAUUUUAUUGUUAAAAUUUAAUUUUUGGGUAAAAAAGCUCAAUUGUUUUUUCGGGACGAUAAGACCCUAUAGAACUUUAAUUUAAGGUGUAUUUAUUUUAUUUUGGUUAAAAUUUUAUUUUAAUAUAUUUUAAAUUUUUAUUGGGGUGAUAAAUAAAUUUUAACUUUAUUUUUUUUAUUCAUUAAUUUAUGUUUUUUUGAUCCAUUAUUUUUGAUUUUAAGAUUAAGUUACCUUAGGGAUAACAGCGUAAUUUUAAUGGGGAGUUCAUAUUUAUAUUAAAGUUUGCGACCUCGAUGUUGAAUUAAGAAAAGUCUAGGGGGUAG
rnacentral:rRNA from 1 species